AGACUCCUACGGGAGGCAGCAGUGGGGAAAUAUUGCGCAAUGGGCGAAAGCCUGACUCCAGCUACGCCGCGUGAGAGAUGACGGCCUUCGGGUUGUAAACCUCUUUCAGCAGGGACGAAAGUGACGGUUCCGUCAGAAGAAGCCCCGGCCAACUACGUGCCAGCUGCCGCGGUAAUACGUAGGGGGCAAGCGUUGUCCGGAAUUAUUGGGCGUAAAGGGCUCGUAGGCGGUUCGG
rnacentral:rRNA from 1 species